GCCAAAACCUAAACCAAAACCCAAGCCGUGAAACCAAGACCACAUUGAAGCCCUAUCACCAUCUUCGUUAACCCGUUAACCAUCGCUUUCAUCACCUGCUUCAUCCUUUCGCCGGUGAAACCCUAUCACCGCGUGAAACCUCCUCUCUCGAACCGGAACUUCACCAAACCUCCUCCCUCGAACCGGAAAUUCACCAAACCUCCUCUCUCGAACAAACACACAUUCAGAAGAAGAAGUUAUUGAGGUGAAGAGCGAGCCGAAAGAUAAGAAGAUUGUACCAGGCCGAAAUCACUUCGAUUACUUGGAUAAGGCUGAAUGGCAUCAAUGAAUGAAUGUGUAUAAAGAUUCUUCCAUUUCACAAUCCAAGCUUUACUGUCACUUGGGAAUCAGUUACACUAGGCGCUACCUCGCGUGCGGUGAAGUAAUCUAGUGGAUUAGAAGCCUGUGAUAAAACAUCCAGAUUCACCCAGGUAAUGCCUGCAUCUACUCCAUAAGUUCUUGGAGUAAGAAACUGGUUUAGGUUUCGGACGGAAUCAUAAGAGCUACUGGGUUAUAGUUGGUUACAAUGUGAUAGCAUACUAAAUAAGCUUUUAUCAGAGUUUGAUUCAGUGCCGACACUUUGACUUGAAAGACUGCUGCCAUCUGAUCUGUUCCAGCCACCGUCAAUGUGGUGGUUAGCUGGGGGCAAUGAUGACCUAUAAAAUUACACAUAUUCAAGUGCGAUUGCGAUGGUGUUGCCAUGGAAGCAGUAUUAGGCACACAAUCGGUUACAUUUUCUACAGCCAAUGAAUCUUGCCUAGGGAUGAAUGGAUCUUUUCUGGGUAUUAAGCACCUUCCUCAUGCAAUGGAAUGAAUAUUCUCUGACAUAUUUUUUGGCAUGUAAACCUCGGUAACUCUCCUCUGCAUUGGGUCCAACGUCAGCGGCAUUUGCAAGGGCUCCUUGAAAUGACUGGAACAUUGGCCAUCUCCCAUCAUAAUGUUAUUUGAAGUCUGAAAAAUCCAACGGGGCUCCUUUUUGUUCAUGAUGAUAUGGUAACAGCCCUGACCAUUGAAGAGAGAGUGAAUUAAAACACCUUGGCUUUGGCUUUCGUAAGAACUGAAGGAGGUCCCAUUGUCCAAAUGCCCAUGUAACAACUCUUUACCUGUCUCUUCUUGAUGUAGCAUCUUGGCUCUGGCUUUUGUAAGAACUGAAGGAUGAUAUGGAACAUUAUCUGUAUACUUGUUUGUUGCGGCAGAGUCAUAAUAUGAAUGUGGCGCCAUUUCAACAGUUUGCCAGACAUCACUUCCAGAAGUGAAAGGUGCUCCUUCAUUAGUAGAAACAUCACAAACGUUUGUAUUCCUCGGAUACUCGUCUUUAUUUGGUGACGUAUCGUAUGAUUUUGAUAAAAUAAUAUUCUUUUCUGAAUCCACACUCACUUUAUUGAAAUGGUCUACUGGGAUGCACUCAGUUGUACAAUAGCGGUUCAUGAAUUUGCUUUCACUGAGUUGUGUAGAUAUUUAUUGUGUACUAGUAUGGACUAUUAGGAUGCUGCAAUAGUAAUUUUCUUCCUGGUAUGAGACUCUGCAAAUUGUUACUUAGCAGAGAAAAGAACAUACAGAUUUGAUAAUUUUUAUCAAAAAAAAUCUAUCUUGUUUUUACUA